rnacentral:rRNA from 1 species
AAAAGCGGAGGAAAAGAAACCAACCGGGAUUGCCUUAGUAACGGCGAGUGAAGCGGCAAAAGCUCAAAUUUGAAAUCUGGUACCUUCGGUGCCCGAGUUGUAAUUUGGAGAGGGCAACUUUGGGGCCGUUCCUUGUCUAUGUUCCUUGGAACAGGACGUCAUAGAGGGUGAGAAUCCCGUGUGGCGAGGAGUGCGGUUCUUUGUAAAGUGCCUUCGAAGAGUCGAGUUGUUUGGGAAUGCAGCUCUAAGUGGGUGGUAAAUUCCAUCUAAAGCUAAAUAUUGGCGAGAGACCGAUAGCGAACAAGUACAGUGAUGGAAAGAUGAAAAGAACUUUGAAAAGAGAGUGAAAAAGUACGUGAAAUUGUUGAAAGGGAAGGGCAUUUGAUCAGACAUGGUGUUUUGUGCCCUCUGCUCCUUGUGGGUAGGGGAAUCUCGCAUUUCACUGGGCCAGCAUCAGUUUUGGUGGCAGGAUAAAUCCAUAGGAAUGUAGCUUGCCUCGGUAAGUAUUAUAGCCUGUGGGAAUACUGCCAGCUGGGACUGAGGACUGCGACGUAACUCAAAGAUGCUGGCUUAAGGCUUAUAUGCCGCCCCACUUGAAACACAACUACAUU